rnacentral:misc_RNA from 1 species
CGCAGUUUAAACCUCUUAACACGCACCGAUCAUUUUAGUUCCUAACGCAAACAUCAACAACUCAGACCUCAGUCCAUCUCUAAUCACCCAUUUCAGAUCCCCUACAAGCGCUUUCGCUCUCUAAAACACAGUUCAAAAGCACAACUUUUUCUGUUUUCCUUCUCUAUAAACUUCGAAAACCCUAAGGUUUCCACUGGAUCCGUUAAUGGCAGAAGAACCUGCAUCGCCGUCUCCAGCGGCACAAUCGCAGCAGCAGCUAUCACAGGCUGCGCCGCUUGGCUCCUCAGUGAUCCCGAUAGUGAACAAGUUGCAGGACAUAUUUGCGCAACUCGGGAGUCAGUCGACGAUUGAGCUGCCGCAGGUGGCGGUGGUAGGGAGCCAGAGCAGCGGGAAAUCUAGCGUGCUGGAAGCUCUUGUCGGCAGGGAUUUCUUGCCCCGGGGAAACGAUAUUUGCACCCGGCGGCCUCUGGUUUUGCAGCUGCUGCAGACUAAGAGGAAGGCCGAUGGCACCGAGGAGGAGUGGGGGGAGUUCCUGCAUCAUCCUGGAAGACGCUUCUAUGAUUUCUCCGAGAUCCGCAGAGAAAUUCAAGCUGAGACAGCUAAGGAAGCUGGGGACAACAAAGGUGUCUCAGACAAGCAGAUUCGCUUGAAGAUUUUUUCACCAAAUGUUCUUGAUAUCACACUUGUUGAUCUACCUGGUAUCACAAAGGUUCCUGUGGGUGAUCAACCCUCAGAUAUUGAAGCACGAAUUAGAACUAUGAUCAUGUCAUACAUCAAGAAACCAAGCUGUCUGAUUUUAGCUGUUACACCAGCAAAUUCAGAUUUAGCAAACUCAGAUGCGCUUCAGAUUGCUGGAAAUGCUGAUCCUGAUGGUUAUAGAACUAUUGGAGUGAUUACGAAGUUGGAUAUUAUGGAUAGAGGUACCGAUGCUCGUAAUCUGUUGCUUGGAAAAGUGAUUCCUCUUAGACUUGGUUAUGUUGGUGUUGUUAAUCGAAGUCAAGAGGAUAUUAUGCUAAAUCGGAGUAUCAAGGAUGCACUUGCAGCAGAGGAAAAGUUCUUCCGCAGUCGUCCUGUAUAUAAUGGCCUAGCUGAUCGUUGUGGCAUUCCUCAGUUGGCAAAGAAGUUGAACCAGAUUCUGGUGCAGCAUAUCAAAGCCAUACUGCCAGGGCUGAAAUCACGCAUAAGUUCUGCACUGGUAUCUGUUGCGAAGGAACAUGCAAGCUAUGGGGAAAUCACAGAAUCGAAGGCUGGUCAAGGAGCUCUUCUCCUCAACAUUCUUUCAAAAUAUUCUGAGGCAUUUUCUUCAAUGGUAGAGGGCAAAAAUGAAGAAAUGUCAACAUCUGAGCUGUCUGGUGGAGCACGCAUUCACUAUAUAUUUCAAUCUAUCUUUGUGAAGAGUUUAGAGGAGGUUGAUCCAUGUGAGGACUUGACUGAUGAUGACAUUCGAACUGCCAUUCAGAAUGCAACUGGUCCUAGAUCUGCACUAUUUGUACCAGAAGUGCCAUUUGAAGUUCUUGUUCGAAGGCAAAUAGCUCGCUUAUUAGAUCCAAGUCUCCAGUGUGCUAGGUUCAUAUAUGAUGAAUUAAUAAAGAUUAGCCAUCGCUGUCUGGUAAAUGAACUGCAAAGGUUUCCUGUUCUAAGAAGGCGUAUGGAUGAAGUUAUCGGAAACUUUUUGCGAGAUGGUCUUGAUCCGUCAGAGACGAUGAUUGGCCACAUUAUCGAAAUGGAGGUGAUUUUAUAAGCAAGAUACCUAUAAAUGCUUGAUAAUGCUAUAUUUUCUCCUCUUUAAAUUCAAUUCAAUUGCUAUGUUGACUUGUUUUUUUCCACUUCCAACUGAUUGUUCUUUUAACCUAUCAAACUUUUGUAAAUAUUAAUAGUUGUAAAUACACAAUUAUAGAAUUGAUUGAUUUAUUUAUUUUAUAAUUGUUUUUGUGAUGAGAUCAAUGGUUAUCGAGCACUGUUUCAGGCCUGUGGUUUUUGCUUAUGAUUGUAAAUUGAUAUGGGCUUGGGUAGCUGUUUAUGUGUCUUUUAUGCCAUCCUUUCAUCGUCAUCAGUCAUGUCAAUCUGUAACGAUAAAUUAGUACUCUUGCCUAUUGUUAUGGCUUGAAAGCGAAAUUGCAAUUUUCUUAGCAAACUACUAGAGACCAUUAUCAAGUUGAAGUCAUGCCAAAACUGGAUGUUUGGAAGGAAGGUGUGGACAUGAUCCUACCUUAAAGCUUUCUUCUCGUUUUUAUUUUACUUGUGAAGUACUUGCUUUCUGGCCGUGAACCUACAACCAACUUUGUUGCAAGCACAAGAUGAUGACCAUUUUAAGCAAACUAGUUUCAGAAAAAUAUUGAUUGUUAGAACGAAGUUAUUGAUAUCUCUUUGUACUUUCAGAUAUUUUUCCUUUUUCUUUUUAACUUGUUUUCUCUAGAUUGUGUAAUGUUUAACUAUUCUGGACUGUUUUUCUUCAAUUGAACUCAUCUGUCAUAGGGAGAGAAAAAAACUUCUGGAUUCUUUUGCAGAUGGAUUAUAUAAACACCUCACACCCAAAUUUUAUUGGUGGGAGUAAGGCUGUGGAAAUUGCACUGCAACAGGUCAAGUCUUCUAGGGCUGUUUCCCUACCAGUGAGACAAAAGGACGGUACAGAGAUUGACAAGGCCCCAACAUCAGAGAGGACCCUCAAGUCUCGGGCAAUUCUUGCCAGACAAGUAAAUGGAGUUGUGGCUGACCAGGGAGUUCGUCCUGUGGCUGAUGUUGAAAAGGUUGCAACCCCUGGGAGUGUCUCAAGUUGGGGUAUUUCAUCAAUUUUUGGUGGUAGUGAUAACUCCCGAAUGUCUGCUAAAGAAGGCUCAACAACAAAGUCACAUAUUGAACCUGUUCAUAGCAUGGAUGAUUUGGAGCAAAGCAUUUCUUUGAUCCAUUUAAGAGAGCCUCCAACUGUCUUGAGACCCUCAGAAAGUCAUUCAGAGCAAGAGACUAUUGAAAUUGCAGUCACUAAAUUGCUAUUGAGAUCAUACUAUGACAUUGUUCGGAAGAAUAUUGAGGACUCUGUACCAAAAGCAAUUAUGCACUUUCUGGUAAACCAUACAAAGCGUGAACUGCACAAUGUCUUCAUUAAAAAGCUUUACAGGUGACUUGGGAUUACAUAUACUGAUGUAAUCAGUCUGAUUAUAUCUGCACUUGUAGUUUAUGUUGUAUGCUGCUUUCCAUGUGUGACUCUGCAUUUUGCAACCUGUGUCAUCCAAACAGAGAAAACCUGUUUGAAGAGAUGCUGCAGGAACCAGAGGAGAUAGCUAUGAAAAGAAAGCGGACACGAGAAACACUUCGAGUUCUUCAACAGGCUUUUAGGACAUUGGAUGAAUUGCCAUUGGAAGCUGAAACAGUUGAAAGGGGAUACAGUUUGGGCUCUGAUCCAACUGGCUUGCCAAAGAUCCAUGGAUUGCCAACAUCAUCAAUGUAUUAUACUAGCAGUGGUUCCAGUGACUACUCAGCUUCUCCUAAGAACAAGUCCCGCAAAUCAUCUCACUCGGGGGAGCUACAUUCCAAUUUUUACGCUAAUGUAGAUUCUAAUGGAAGUGGGCGGUCGUACAUGCCUGGUCUUUAUCCAACAGUCGACUUCUAAGCCAUUUGAAUGAGCCUAUUGGUCAAGUUUUUCUGAAGCUUCCAGACAUGGUAUAUUCAUUUGAUUGCCAAGCCACUCUUCUCGGAAUGUUGAAAUUUCAACUUGCAGAGUUGGCUCAGCAAGGUUGACGCGCGCAGACCAGAAGUUGCGCGUUACUCCUAUAUGUCUUUUACUUUCUCUGGAAAUAUAGUAUAGGAUUUUUUUUUUUACAAAGGCUUCAGCAAGAAUGACAGGGAGCCAAUAAUCCACCUAUUUUUUACCCAUUAGAAGUAGCAAGAGCUCGCAUAUAUAUAAUCUGUGCGCAAGUUCUCUUUUUAGUUUUGUUUGUCUUACUGGAAAGUGUUUUCACAAUUCCUUAUGGGAUCAUUGGUUAUUUUAAUCAUUCAUCUAAUAUUAACCUUAAAAAGAGUUAAUUUUUUUUUUAAUUUUUUUUUCAACUCGAGCAAAACAAAGAUCUGACUGCGAGUAAGAAGCACAGGACUCUGGUUCUCUUUUCAUGCCUAUAAUUAUCUUGCAUCCUCCCUUUCACUUUUUUUUUUCUUUUCUCCUUUGUCUGUUUGGGAUAAAUAUAUAAUAUUAAAGAAUAUUAUUUUAAAUAUUACUAUUAAUAUAACAGAUUUUGUUUUUUUAAUGACAACCCCAAUAACGUAUCUUUUGUAGAGUUGCCUUUUCCACUGGGCAAAUCAUGUGUCAC